CCCCUAAUUUCCCCCCUAAAACUCUUAACUUUGCAAAGACGCCGUCUCUCUUGCUUUCUCUCCCUCCCUCCCUCCCUCCCUCCCUGCGACAUUAUAAAAAAAAUCAACAUAUGCUGAUAAUGAUAAGAUUUACUGGUUUCCCAGGCAAAUACAAAGAGGUUACAACCAGUUUCUGGAUUAUUAUCGGCUUUACUAGUAAAACAUGUUACAGAGGUUACAUAGGUUACAGAGGUUACAACCAUUGCUGUACCUUUGAGAUUAUUGGGUUUUGAGGGACGAUAAUGGGGAAGUUAGAAGGAAGAUAUCAGCAGCGUCAGCCAGAGCUCACACCAGAAAAUCUCAUCAAAGCUCUUCUUUCAAGCUUUCUCCAGGUGAGGAAAGAAAAAUUAGGAGACAGAAUUACUGCACUUCACCAGUUUGUUUCACCAUUUGGGAAGAGUGCAAAGGAGAAGCAAUUCUUAUAUGAUAUUGUUGCAAAUGGUCAGAAUGGAAUUGAUGUGGAUAAAUAAGUGAAACUUAAUAUACAUGCUACACCACUUGCAGAUUCAUGGAGACUAUGCGAGUUUUGGAUGAUGAGAUCUGCUAUCUUGCUAAAGACUGUUAGUAUCAUCUAUUUCAUUUACUUGCAAAAUACAUGUUUAGUUCUUUUAGUGUUUUUUUACUCCUCCUUAAUAACGGUAAUGGGUGCUCUUGCUAGAUCUUAGUAUCCACAGGUUAUUUGCUACUCGUGCUGAUCUUUAUCGAACUGUGUACACCCACUCUAAAGUGAAGUUGUGUAGGCGUCUUAUCUUAAGUGGUGAGGUCUGAUUUCAUUUUUAUUCAGGAUCCUUGUGAGUACUGGAAGCUAGAUGACACAAUAAUCAAAACCAUCGAGACAGCACCAGAUAAAGAACUCUGAGAAUCUAGAGAUCUGAUUCUGCACAUUCGUAGGAGAAAUUUGUAUCAGGUGGAAAACCUUUGCAUACUUUCACUUCAUUUUUGUGUUUUGAUCAUGAUAGCAUGCAAACAAACAUGCUAUUAUUUUUUUUUAUAAAAUGUGAAAGACGAAACUUACUGUAUAGUGUGUUAUUUUCUGUGUUAGUUCUGUAACCAAGAUUUCCUUGAUUAAGAAAAUGCAUUGUAUAUUUUAUUA